CAUGCAGGCGAGGGGUUAGCAAUAACACCGUCGUACGGGUGCGUAACGCGUAUGCAACCUACCUAUCACCGGGGGAUAGCCUUUGGAAACAGGGAUUAAUACCGCAUAAUACUGAUGGUCAGCAUUGGUUUUCAGUUAAAGAUUUAUUGGUGAUAGAUGGGCAUGCGUCUGAUUAGUUAGAUGGUGAGGUAACGGCUCACCAUGACGAUGAUCAGUAGGGGGCGUCAGAGCGUGGUCCCCCACACUGGCACUGAGAUACGGGCCAGACUCCUACGGGAGGCAGCAGUAGGGAAUAUUGGGCAAUGGAUGCAAGUCUGACCCAGCCAUGCCGCGUGCAGGAAGAAGGUCCUCUGGAUUGUAAACUGCUUUUGUCGGGGAAGAAUAGGUCUCUUGCGAGGGAUUGUGACGGUACCCGAUGAAUAAGCCACGGCUAACUACGUGCCAGCAGCCGCGGUAAUACGUAGGUGGCAAGCGUUGUCCGGAUUUAUUGGGUUUAAAGGGUGCGUAGGUGGUUUGCUAAGUCAGUGGUGAAAGCUGGUUGCUCAACAAUCAAGUUGCCAUUGAUACUGUCAGACUUGAGAGAAGUGGAGGCUCAUGGAAUGGAUGGUGUAGCGGUGAAAUGCAUA
rnacentral:rRNA from 1 species